ACAAGCCAGUCACUUCCCAGGAGUUCCCAGGAAUGGACGGACAGUGUGGGCUGCCACCUCGGCCCAGAGCUGAACUGGGACAAAUGUGUCCUGAGUUGCUGUUUUGUGCAUGCCUGACUGCAGGUUCCUCUGUCCUCUCAGAAGAUCACACCCACAGGCUUGGUGUUUGUAUUGACAUCUGAGUAAUCUCAAAUAUAGGUUCUUAGGAGCCAUACUCAGUCCCCAGGUUUGCAGAGCAAGCCCUUCACCCACUGAGCCACCACCUCCACUUUGAGAAGGUCCAUCUGUGUAUCCCUGGCUAGUUUGGAGCUCACUAUACAGAUCAGGCUUGCCUUGGACAUAUGGUCCUCCUGUCUCUGUACCCCCUCCUGUCCAAGUCUGAAGGCGCGUGACACUGCUCCUGGGACAGCCACCCAAUUAACACAGUGGCAGAUACUGUGUACUCAGUGAGGACCAGCCCACACACCACUUGUUCAGGACUUGGACUUUUAUGAAGAAUUUAUCGCCGGGCGGUGGUGGCUCACACCUUUAAUCCCAGCACUCGGGAGGCAGAGGCAGGCGGAUCUCUGUGUGGUCUACAGCCAGCAAACUCCUGAGAGACAGUGACUGUGGCAGCUCUGGGCCCUGCGACUUCCUCUCACAAGUUUACCAAAGAUGACACGUGAGGCACUGCCCUCAGCUCGCAGCCUCCCUUUGCCUAUGCCCAGGGGUUCUUCUUCAGCUAGCAGCACCAUGGGGUGUGAGCCCAGCUUCCCUCUCAUGGCUAUUGAGUGGGAGAAUGUGUUUUUCUUUCUCCAUCAUUUUCCUCUCCAUUUUUUGAUGUUACAGUCUUUCUGACUUCUUUUAGUAGUUGCCCAGAAAUUUUCAAAGUUUUAAUUAAU
rnacentral:lncRNA from 1 species